rnacentral:rRNA from 1 species
CCUACGGGCGGCAGCAGUGAGGAAUAUUGGUCAAUGGGCGAGAGCCUGAACCAGCCAAGUCGCGUGAAGGAUGACGGCCCUACGGGUUGUAAACUUCUUUUGUCAGGGAGCAAUUGGGACCACGCGUGGGCUUAGCGAGAAGACCUGAAGAAAAAGCAUCGGCAAACUCCGUGACAGCAGCCGCGGUAAGACGGAGGAUGCGAGCGUUAUCCGGAUUUAUUGGGGUAAAAGGGUGCGUAGGCGGGAUAUGAAGGCAGCGGUAAAAAUUCGGGGCUCAACCCCGUCGUGCCGUUGAAACUGAUGUUCUUGAGUGGGCUAGAAGUAUGCGGAAUGCGUGGUGGAGCGGUGAAAUGCAUAGAUAUCACGCAGAACUCCGAUUGCGAAGGCAGCAUACCGGCGCCCAACUGACGCUGAAGCACGAAAGCGUGGGUAUCGAACAGGAUUAGAUACCCUGGUAGUC